rnacentral:rRNA from 1 species
UACGUAGGGGGCGAGCGUUGUCCGAAGUUACUGGGCGUAAAGCGCACGUAGGCGGUUAUCUAAGUCUGGGGUGAAAGGUUCAGUGCUUAACGCGAACAGUGCCUUGGAGACUGGAUGACUUGAGUUUGAGAGAGGGUAGUGGAAUGGCUGGUGUAGCGGUGAAAUGCGCAGAUAUCGGGAGGAACACCAGUAGCGAAGGCGGCACUCUGGGCCGUGACUGACGCUGAGGAGCGAAAGCGUGGGUAGCAAACAGG